rnacentral:rRNA from 1 species
UGAAUACGAGACGCUACGGCGUCGAAGCAGUCUGUGUCAUACUUCCAAGAAAAGCUUGCACUGUCAUAAACAAAUAAUGCCUGUACCAUAACCGACACAGGUGGGUAGGUAGAGUAUACUAAGGGGCGCGAGAUAACUCUCUCUAAGGAACUCGGCAAAAUGACUCCGUAACUUCGGGAGAAGGAGUGCCUUAAGAAAUUAAGGUUGCAAUAACAAGAUCCAAGCAACUGUUUAUCAAAAACACAGGUCUCCGCUAAGUCGUAAGACGAUGUAUGGGGGCUGACGCCUGCCCAGUGCCAGAAGGUUAAAGAAGUCGGUUAGCAUUAGCGAAGCUGGUAACUGAAGCCCUGGUGAACGGCGGCCGUAACUAUAACGGUCCUGAGGUAGCGAAAUUCCUUGUCGGGUAAGUUCCGACCCGCACGAAAGGCGUAAUGAUUUGGAUUCUGUCUCGGAGAGGGACUCGGUGAAAUAGACUUGUCUGUGAAGAUGCGGACUACCUGCACCAGGACAGAAAGACCCUAUGAAGCUUUACUGUAACUUGAAAUUGAAAUUGGACUUUACUUGCGCAGUAUAGGUGGGAGGCGUUGAGAAUAUUCUUGCGGGAAUAUUGGAGCCAUCAGUGAGAUACCACUCUUGUAAUGUUAGAUUUCUAACUUUGUAUCAUUAUCUGGUCAAAGAACAGUUUCAGGCGGGCAGUUUGACUGGGGCGGUCGCCUCCUAAACGGUAACGGAGGCGCACAAAGGUUUCCUCUGAACGGGUAGAAAUCGUAUCUAGAGUGUAAAGGCAUAAGGAAGCUUGACUGUGAGACCUACAAGUCGAGCAGGGACGAAAGUCGGUCUUAGUGAUCUGACGGUGCUGAGUGGAAAGGCCGUCACUCAACGGAUAAAAGUUACUCUAAGGAUAACAGGCUGAUCUCCCCCAAGAGUUCACAUCGACGGGGAGGUUUGGCACCUCGAUGUCGGCUCAUCGCAUCCUGGGGCGGUAGUACGUCCCAAGGGUUGGGCUGUUCGCCCAUGAAAGCGGUACGCGAGCUGGGUUCAGAACGUCGUGAGACAGUUCGGUCCAUAUCCGGUGUAGGCGUUAGAAUAUUGAGAGGAGCCUUCUUUAGUACGAGAGGACCGAGAAGGACAUACCUCUGGUGUACCAGUUAUCGUGCCAACGGUAAACGCUGGGUAGCCAUGUAUGGAGAGGAUAACCGCUGAAAGCAUCUAAGUGGGAAGCCCACCUCAAGAUAAG